rnacentral:tRNA from 1 species
CGGGGCUUGGCGCAGCUUGGUAGCGCGCCUGCUUUGGGAGCAGGAGGCCGCAGGUUCAAAUCCUGUAGCCCCGACCA